CAGAGCUGUGUGUAACUGCUUAAGGAGAGGUUUUGAACCAGAAGGUCAAGGCCGGAAAAGCUGUUUGGGGAACCAAAGAAUGUGCAGUCAUUCCGAGGAGCCAUUCUUUUCUUUCCAUGGGGGCAGGCUCUGUUUUGUUUUGUUUUCUAUUAAGCCUUAUGGUCUUUUCUGCCUGCUGUUGCUCCUAUAGGCAGGUGAUCCUUCAAGAAUGCAAAGGCCAAUUUCUGGUCAGAUUUCAGCAGGAAAGGCUGGUGAAGAUGUCAACUUGAGGAAGGGUGUCAACAAUAAUUACAGCCUAGUGUCAGCAUGGAUGCUAAAAAGACUACAGUACACAACUUAAUUUGUGGUUCUUGACUGAAGCUUCUGAACUUAAAAUAAAAAUUUGAAACAAUAAAA